ACUAUAAUCUUUGAUGCAUAUGUACAUGAUGGCUGAAAGGCGUUUGCUGUUAAAUGUUACAUGUCUUCUUGAAUUUCACAGGAAUGAUAAAGGAAUUUAAAGGAAGGUGGUGUAACUAUAAAUUCGACAGGUUUAAAGAAAUAAUGUACUGUUAGAUGACACGGAGUGUCAGUAGGAGAAAUUGGUUUGGUAUUAAAUGAAGUGAAACAGUGUUUUCUGUUUCAGAUAGUAAUGGAGGAUAGCGUCAGUGUCAAAUCAAACGAUUCUGUAGCAAC